UUGUGGAAAGCUGUACCAACUGGUUAGAGUAACCAUCAUUCAUCUGCUAUAGAAGAAACCAGGGAUUCUUAGAUCAAGAAUCUAAUUCCAGAAACCACCUAAAAAAGCCAUUUUCAACCUUUAUCAUUCAAGCCAUAGAUCUCACCUUUGGCUUGAUAAUCUUUUCUGAGAUUACAAUUUCCAAGGAAUAACCCCCAAUCAGCCUGAAGGUGACUUCUUCCAAGGGAGAGAUCAAAUCAGCAAUUGGCAAGAAGCAGUGCUACUCUACUGAGGCUUCAAAUUGUUUCCACUUACUAAAGAUUUCAAUGCCGAACACAAAUUCCAGCUCCCUGGAGAGUACUUGUGUGGAGAAAAAAAAUCAUGUCACUGCAGGAGUAACUCCUCUACAGCCACCCAGAUGGGAUGCUUUGAGAAAACGCCUUUUGUCAGCUUCCCACAGCUCAGUGCCUCAGUGAGUCACAACCAAUAACGCCCUCCCCCAAUAAAGCAGCAGGGUACCAAGAAGGCUAAUUCUUCCCUACUCCUUUUUUUUUUCCUAUAUAUAUUUUUGUGCACUGAUCAGUAAACUACCAUUUUUCCAUCACUAGACCUAUUAGUAUCUACAUAGCUAUAAAAUAGUGUUCCAGCAUAGGCCUUAGUAGGUUCUUCCAGGAUUCAACCUGUACUGCCUUGCUGCCUGCCUAAGCCGGUUCUCUCUUCUACUCCCCCUCAGUGAAGUCAGAAAACAGCAUUCAUUCUUUCAUUGUCACAGGUAUUGUGGAAAGCACUGAGGAUAUAGUGUAUUUGACCUUAUGAGAGUACAGCUCAGUGAGAAAGAUAGGGAUUAAACAAGUUAUCCCCAUGGUAAUGAAAUAUUUAAUAUGAUAAGUAUGACAGAACAUGACAUGUCCAAAAGAAACUGUCCAAUGGGAUCUGACUGAGUGAGGGUGAGCAAAACUUUCCAAGGGGCUGGGGAUGUGGCUGAAGCGGUAGCGCGCUCGCCUGGCAUGCAUGCAGCCCGAGUUCGAUGCUCAGCACCACAUACAAAGAUGUUGUGUCUGCCGAAAACUAAAAAAUAAAUUUAAAAAAAUUCUCUUAAAAAAAAAAAAAACUUUCACAAGCAAGGCACCAUUCAAGCUGAAAUCCGAAGGAUGAGCAGCAGAGGAGGCGAAGGGGAGAGAGCA